rnacentral:rRNA from 1 species
GCAUCGAUGAAGAACGCAGCGAAAUGCGAUAAGUAAUGUGAAUUGCAGAAUUUAGUGAAUCAUCGAAUCUUUGAACGCACAUUGCGCCCCUUGGCAUUCCGAGGGGCAUGCCUGUUCGAGCGUCAUAACACCCCCCUCAAGCUGCCCUUGUGGUGGCUCCGGUGUUGGGGCUCGUCGCAGUUUUGCGGUGGCCCUUAAAGACAGUGGCGGUCCCCGCGUGGGCUCUACGCGUAGUAACUUGUUCCUCGCGACAGAGUGACGCUCGUGAUCAGCCAGAACCACCCACCUUUGUCCGGUCAUCCGGAUUGACAGGUUGACCUCGAAUCAGGUAGGAAUACCCGCUGAACUUAAGCAUAUCAAUAAGCGGAGGA